rnacentral:rRNA from 1 species
UACGAAGGGGGCUAGCGUUGUUCGGAUUUACUGGGCGUAAAGCGCCACGUAGGCGGAUUGUUAAGUCAGGGGUGAAAUCCUGGAGCUCAACUCCAGAACUGCCUUUGAUACUGGCAAUCUAGAGUCCGGAAGAGGUGAGUGGAACUCCUAGUGUAGAGGUGGAAUUCGUAGAUAUUGGGAAGAACACCAGUGGCGAAGGCGGCUCACUGGGCCCGAUACUGACGCUGAGG